rnacentral:rRNA from 1 species
AUUGAACGCUGGCGGCAUGCUUUACACAUGCAAGUCGAACGGUAACAGGGUGCUUGCACCGCUGACGAGUGGCGAACGGGUGAGUAAUGCAUCGGAACGUACCCAGUCGUGGGGGAUAACGUAGCGAAAGUUACGCUAAUACCGCAUACGUCCUGAGGGAGAAAGCGGGGGACCGUAAGGCCUCGCGCGAUUGGAGCGGCCGAUGUCGGAUUAGCUAGUUGGUAGGGUAAAGGCCUACCAAGGCGACGAUCCGUAGCGGGUUUGAGAGGAUGAUCCGCCACAGUGGGACUGAGACACGGCCCAGGCUCCUAAGGGAGGCAGCAGUGGGGAAUUUUGGACAAUGGGCGAAAGCCUGAUCCAGCCAUGCCGCGUGAGUGAAGAAGGCCUUCGGGUCGUAAAGCUCUUUCAGAUGGAAAGAAAACGUACAGGUUAAUACCUUGUGCGGACGACGGUACCAUCAGAAGAAGCACCGGCUAACUACGUGCCAGCCGCCGCAGUAAUAC